AUUGAACGCUGGCGGCAUGCUUUACACAUGCAAGUCGAACGGUAACAGGGUGCUUGCACCGCUGACGAGUGGCGAACGGGUGAGUAAUGCGUCGGAACGUGCCGAGUAGUGGGGGAUAACGCAGCGAAAGUUGUGCUAGUACCGCAUACGUACUGAGGUAGAAAGUGGGGGACCUUCGGGCCUCACGCUAUUCGAGCGGCCGACGUCUGAUUAGCUAGUAGGUGAGGUAAAGGCUCACCUAGGCGACGAUCGGUAGCGGGUCUGAGAGGAUGAUCCGCCACACUGGGACUGAGACACGGCCCAGACUCCUACGGGAGGCAGCAGUGGGGAAUUUUGGACAAUGGGCGAAAGCCUGAUCCAGCCAUGCCGCGUGUCUGAAGAAGGCCUUCGGGUUGUAAAGGACUUUUGUCAGGGAGGAAAUCCCUAGUGCUAAUAACACUGGGGGAUGACAGUACCUGAAGAAUAAGCACCGGCUAACUACGUGCCAGCAGCCGCAGUAA
rnacentral:rRNA from 1 species